rnacentral:tRNA from 1 species
GUUCUUAUAGUUGAAUGACAACGGUGGUUUUUCAAGCCAUUAGUCCUAGUUAAAGUCUUGGUGAGAAUU